AAGUCGUAACAAGGUUUCCGUAGGUGAACCUGCGGAAGGAUCAUUAAUGAAAAAGGAAACGCGCAAGUGUAACCUUCUCCAUUGCUUGUGCAUCUUCCAGCGGGAUACCCUCCCGCUGAUGAUAAUGGACUAUUUUAUAGUCUGAUUUUCACAUAUACAUAAUGUUUUUGUAUGUCAAUAGAUAGCCUGAAAGGGCGAAAUAUUAAACACAACUUUCAACAACGGAUCUCUUGGUUCUC
rnacentral:misc_RNA from 1 species